rnacentral:rRNA from 1 species
UGGGGAAUAUUGCACAAUGGGCGAAAGCCUGAUGCAGCAACGCCGCGUGAGCGAUGAAGGCCUUCGGGUCGUAAAGCUCUGUCCUCAAGGAAGAUAAUGACGGUACUUGAGGAGGAAGCCCCGGCUAACUACGUGCCAGCAGCCGCGGUAAUACGUAGGGGGCUAGCGUUAUCCGGAAUUACUGGGCGUAAAGGGUGCGUAGGUGGUUUCUUAAGUCAGAGGUGAAAGGCUACGGCUCAACCGUAGUAAGCCUUUGAAACUAGGAAACUUGAGUGCAGGAGAGGAGAGUGGAAUUCCUAGUGUAGCGGUGAAAUGCGUAGAUAUUAGGAGGAACACCAGUUGCGAAGGCGGCUCUCUGGACUGUAACUGACACUGAGGCACGAAAGCGUGGGGAGCAAACA